CUUAAAACCUAGCCCACUAAACAUGAAUUUUAUCAAAAUAACUACUCUCUUAAAUUAAACCAUUUUAUUAUUUUAGUAAAGGAGAUUAAAAAAAUCUAUUGGAGCUAUAUUUAUUGUACCGUAAGGGAACGGUGAAAUAUUUAAUGAAAAAAUUUCAAGCACUAGAAAGUAAAGAUUACCCCUUGUACCUUUUGCAUCAUGGUUUAACUAGUCUAAUCAAGCAAAACGUAUUUAAGUUUGACUUCCCGAAACUAAGUGAGCUACUUCAGGGCAGUUUUAUGAACGAACCCGUCUCUGUAGCAAAAGAGUGGGACGACCUUCAAGUAGCGGUGAUAGACCUAACGAACUUAGUGAUAGCUGGUUACUCAAGAAAUGGAUCUAAGUCCAACCUGAAAUUUUUAUAUUAGUUUAUCAAAACAACUGAUUAGCUUUCAGCGUAAUUCAAAUAAGGUACAGCCUAUUUGAAAUAAGGAUACAACCUAGACUAAUGGAUAAGACUGGCCUCACGCACAAUCAAGUGGGCCUAAAAGCAGCCACCUUUUAAAUAGCGUCAAAGCUUAAUUGUUCCUACGCCUAAUUACUUAAUUAUUAUCUUAAUCCCCAAUUACUACUGAGUAAUUCUAUAUUUUUAUAGAAAAUUUUAUGUUAAAACUAGUAACAAGAAGAAGACCCUUCUCUUUAAUGCAACUGUAAAUCAGAAAGGACAAACCGCUGAUACUUAACGUAAAUGAACCUAGAGUAGAAACUAGUCAAGAAAACUCUACUCUCACAAGCGUUAACCUAACACAAGAGCAUUUCAAGAAAGAUUAAAAGAAAAAGAAGGAACUCGGCAAACAUUAACCUCGCCUGUUUACCAAAAACAUCGCCUCUUGAAUUAUUAUUAGAGGUCCAGCCUGCCCAGUGACAAUGUUCAACGGCCGCGGUAUCCUAACCGUGCGAAGGUAGCGUAAUCACUUGUUCUUUAAAUGUGGACUAGUAUGAAUGGCACCACGAGGGUUAUACUGUCUCCUUUUUCUAAUCAGUGAAACUAAUCUCCCCGUGAAGAAGCGGGGAUAAAUAUAUAAGACGAGAAGACCCUAUGGAGCUUUAAAUAAUAUAGCACUUGCAACAUAACAUAAAAAUUUCUGAAUAUUUUAAUUUAUAAGCAACAUGUCUAUAAAUUUUUGGUUGGGGUGACCGCGGAGCAUAACACAACCUCCAUGUUGAAAGAACUUCUUUCUAAGCUAAGAACUACCAGUCGAAGCAUCAAUAUACUGACAUUCAUUGACCCAAUAUAUUUGAACAACGAACCAAGUUACCCUAGGGAUAACAGCGCAAUCCAUUUCAAGAGCCCCUAUCGACAAGUGGGUUUACGACCUCGAUGUUGGAUCAGGGUAUCCCAGUGGUGCAGCCGCUACUAAAGGUUCGUUUGUUCAACGAUUAAAACC
rnacentral:rRNA from 1 species